GACGAACGCUGGCGGCGUGCCUAAUACAUGCAAGUCGAACGCAGUGGUGACGGGGGAGUAACACGUGGGUAACCUCCCAUCAGAGGGGAUAACACUUGGAAACAGGUGCUAAACCGAUACUGAUGGAUGGACCCGGGGUGCAUUAGCUAGUGGGGGAGGUAACGGCUGACAAAGGCCACGAUGCAUAGCCGACCGUAGAGGGUAUUCGGCCAAACUGGACCGUAGCAACGGCCAAGACUCCUAGGGGAGGCAGAAGUAGGAAAUCUUCGGCACUGGACGAAAGUCUGUCCAGGCAUGGCGGCGUGGUUAAAGAGGGUUUUCGGAUCGUAAAACUCUGUUGUUAGAGACGCGGUAUCUAACCAGAAAGCCCCGGCUAACUACGUGCCAGCCGCCGCGGUAAUUC
rnacentral:rRNA from 1 species